CCUACGGGUGGCAGCAGUGAGGAAUAUUGGUCAAUGGACGAGAGUCUGAACCAGCCAAGUAGCGUGAAGGAUGACUGCCCUAUGGGUUGUAAACUUCUUUUAUAUGGGAAUAAAAUGUUCCACGUGUGGGAUUUUGUAUGUACCAUAUGAAUAAGGAUCGGCUAACUCCGUGCCAGCAGCCGCGGUAAUACGGAGGAUCCGAGCGUUAUCCGGAUUUAUUGGGUUUAAAGGGAGCGUAGGUGGAUUGUUAAGUCAGUUGUGAAAGUGCGCGGCUCAACCGUAAAAUUGCAGUUGAAACUGGCAGUCUUGAGUACAGUAGAGGUGGGCGGAAUUCGAGGUGUAGCGGUGAAAUGCUUAGAUAUCACGAAGAACUCCGAUUGCGAAGGCAGUUCACUGGACUGCAACUGACACUGAGGCUCGAAAGUGUGGGUAUCAAACAGGAUUAGAUACCCUGGUAGUC
rnacentral:rRNA from 1 species